rnacentral:rRNA from 1 species
GAUGAACGCUAGCUACAGGCUUAACACAUGCAAGUCGAGGGGCAGCAUGAACUUAGCUUGCUAAGUUUGAUGGCGACCGGCGCACGGGUGAGUAACACGUAUCCAACCUGCCGAUGACUCGGGGAUAGCCUUUCGAAAGAAAGAUUAAUACCCGAUGGCAUAGUUCUUCCGCAUGGUAGAACUAUUAAAGAAUUUCGGUCAUCGAUGGGGAUGCGUUCCAUUAGGUUGUUGGCGGGGUAACGGCUCACCAAGCCUUCGAUGGAUAGGGGUUCUGAGAGGAAGGUCCCCCACAUUGGAACUGAGACACGGUCCAAACUCCUACGGGAGGCAGCAGUGAGGAAUAUUGGUCAAUGGACGAGAGUCUGAACCAGCCAAGUAGCGUGAAGGAUGACUGCCCUAUGGGUUGUAAACUUCUUUUAUACGGGAAUAAAGUGAGGCACGUGUGCCUUUUUGUAUGUACCGUAUGAAUAAGGAUCGGCUAACUCCGUGCCAGCAGCC